AAGAUUCCGAGGCUUAGGCCUCGCCUUCAGCUGUGCGCUUUGGCUGCACGCUGGAUAAAAUCUCACACCUGUGCACCGUUUCGGUUGCGGUUUCGGCCGCUUCCGCUUUUACAUUCAACCACGAAAGUCCAGAAUGUGAUCUAAACUAUAAAGUAA
rnacentral:misc_RNA from 1 species